CUAACGAGGAUUUCCCUAGUAACGGCGAGUGAAAAGGAAAAAGCCCAACGCUGAAUCCAAUAGAUAUUAUAUGGCUAUAUGGAAAUGUAGCGUAUAGGUAUAACUAUCCGUAACAUAUUUUUACACCCAAAGUCCCCUUGAGCGGGGCUACAGUCCAUAGAAGGUGCUAGACCUGUACGGGUGAAAAAAGUUACGGUAGGUUAUUCCUUGGAGUCGGGUUGUUUGAGAUUGCAGCCCAAAGAGGGUGGUAAACCUCAUCUAAGGCUAAAUACGACCAUGAGACCGAUAGCAAACAAGUACCGUGAGGGAAAGUUGCAAAGAACUUUGAAGAGAGAGUUCAAGAGGGCGUGAAACCGCUGAGAUGGAAACGGAUAGAGUUAACGAAACUUAUCGGUAUUCAACCAAUUAAUUUAGCAAUCUUAAUUCAUUUCAUUAUUCAUUAAUAAUUUUUUUUUUUUAUUAAUGAAUAAAAUGAUAUUAAUGCUAAAUUAGCAAUAUAUGCAUAGAUUGGUGUAUUUACCGAUGGUAUGCAUCGAGAACUUCAUUUUAGCAUAUUAAUACAAGUUAAUUUAGGGGACCAAUUAUUUCAAUUGAUAAUUGAAAUCCUAAAUUAUGUUGAAAUAUGUCUUAAAUGAAGUUUUUUUUUUUUCCCCAWAUUGGAACUUUCCCUUGAAAAAAAAGGGGACGGGUUCCGAUAAAAAUUUGGCUAAAAAAUAUUUUACCUGGGGGCGCAUGCGACUUUACCGGUAAAAAAAAUUGGUAAWAUUAUAAAAUUWUUGUAKGCAAWAAAGUUMCMUYUCGAUGKGAACGUUAAUCACCUAUCUGACCCGUCUUGAAACACGGACCAAGGAGU
rnacentral:rRNA from 1 species